rnacentral:lncRNA from 1 species
GAUCACUACAUGGGAGCUGGGGCAGGGGCUUCAACGGCAAAUAAGCCGGUUGCUUGGCUAGAAACAGGGCCAGGAGCAGCACCGGAGCUCAAUAUAAGGUCCACCAUGCUCCGCCGUGGGUUCGACCAUUGAGCGUUACAAAGAUCAGGCAAAAACACACCUGCAAAUUAACCAAAGCCUACAAUAUAAAUCAAAGGGGCCUUUGAUAUGCUUUUUACGUAACAUGUUGAGCAAUAAUUGAUACAUACCUUCACCGGCGGCCAAAUUGAAGUAAAGGUCGAUAACGUUGGGACAGUUUUGGUAACAAGCUGGUGCACAAAGCUUGACCGUGAAUUGUUGAUCGAGAAGUGAAUCCGAUGAUAUGCCGAUGGAGUUUCUAUUGACGCCGCAGGCAGCAACACAUUCAUCACUCUCUAUAUAAUCCGCCAUCCUCUCCACCACAACCUCCGAUGUCCGGCAUUGAUGCUCGACGUCGUCGUCUUUGUCCGCCGCCGUUUCCAACACACACCUUUUCCCCGAUGAGGCUAUUGAAAACGCG